rnacentral:rRNA from 1 species
UACGUAGGGUGCAAGCGUUGUCCGGAAUUAUUGGGCGUAAAGAGCUCGUAGGCGGUCUGUCGCGUCGGCUGUGAAAUCCCGAGGCUCAACUCCGGGCCUGCAGUCGAUACGGGCAAACUGGAGUGUUGCAGGGGAGACUGGAAUUCCUGGUGUAGCGGUGAAAUGCGCAGAUAUCAGGAGGAACACCGGUGGCGAAGGCGGGUCUCUGGGCAACGACUGACGCUGAGGAGCGAAAGCGUGGGGAGCGAACAGG